CGCAAUGGGCGCAAGCCUGACGGAGCAAUACCGCGUGAGGGAGGACGGCUUUUGGGUUGUAAACCUCUUUUAUCAGGGAAGAAAAGAUGACGGUACCUGAUGAAUCAGCAUCGGCUAACUCCGUGCCAGCAGCCGCGGUAAUACGGAGGAUGCAAGCGUUAUCCGGAAUUAUUGGGCGUAAAGCGUCCGUAGGUGGCUCUAUAAGUCUUUUGUCAAAUCGUGCAGCUUAACUGCAUACAGGCGGAGGAAACUAUAGAGCUAGAGUGCGAUAGGGGUCACAGGAAUUCCCAGUGUAGCGGUGAAAUGCGUAGAUAUUGGGAAGAACACCAGCGGCGAAAGCGUGUGACUGGGUCUGCACUGACACUGAGGGACGAAAGCUA
rnacentral:rRNA from 1 species